UUCCGGUUGAUCCUGCCGGACCCCACUGCUAUCGAGGUGGGACUAAGCCAUGCUAGUUGAGCGCACAGAACUAUGUCUGUGAGCGGCACACUGCUCAGUAACACGUAGCUAACCUACCCUUAGGACGUGGACAACCCCGAGAAAUUGGGGCUAAUCCGCGAUAGAUGUAUUGUCCUGGAAUGGUAUUACGUCUAAAGGUAUCCCAUACAUGUUUGGUAUAUGCCUAAGUAUGGGGCUGCGGCCGAUCAGGCUGUUGGUGAGGUAAUGGCUCACCAAACCUUUGACCGGUACGGGCCAUGAGAGUGGUAGCCCGGAGAUGGACACUGAGACAAGGGUCCAGGCCCUACGGGGCGCAGCAGGCGCGAAACCUCCUCAAUGCACUUACGUGCGAAGGGGCUACCUCGAGUGCCACCUGAUGAAGGUGGCUUUUCCUAGGUCUAAAAAGCCUUGGGAAUAAGAGGGGGGCAAGACUGGUGUCAGCCGCCGCGGUAACACCAGCCCCUCGAGUGGUGGGGAUGAUUAUUGGGCCUAAAGCGUCCGUAGCCUGCCGUAUAAGUUUCCCGUUAAAUCCAGCGUCUUAAGCGUUGGACCGCGGGAAAUACUGUACGGCUAGAGAGUGGGAGAGGUCAGCGGUAUUCUGGGGGUAGGGGCGAAAUCCUUUGAUCCCCGGAGGACCACCAGUGGCGAAAACUGCUGUCUAGAACACGUCUGACGGUCAGGGACGAAAGCUGGGGUAGCGAACCGGAUUAGAUACCCGGGUAGUCCCAGCCGUAAACGAUGCAUGCUAGUGUUGGGUUGGCCACGAGCCACCCCAGUGCCGCAGGGAAGCCGUUAAGCAUGCCGCCUGGGAAGUACGAUCGCAAGGUUGAAACUUAAAGGAAUUGGCGGGGGGAGCACCACCAGCGUGAGCUGCGGUUUAGUUGGAGUCAACGCGAAAU
rnacentral:rRNA from 1 species